rnacentral:rRNA from 1 species
AGUGAACGCUGGCGGCAGGCCUAAUACAUGCAAGUCGAACGGCAGCACAGCAGAGCUUGCUCUGUGGGUGGCGAGUGGCGGACGGGUGAGGAAUACAUGGGAAUCUGCCCAGUCGUGGGGGAUAACGUAGGGAAACUUACGCUAAUACCACAUGCGCCCUUCGGGGGAAAGCCGGGGACCUUCGGGCCUGGCGCGAUUGGAUGAGCCCAUGUCGGAUUAGCUAGUUGGCGGGGUAAUGGCCCACCAAGGCGACGAUCCGUAGCUGGUCUGAGAGGAUGAUCAGCCACACUGGAACUGAGACACGGUCCAGACUCCUACGGGAGGCAGCAGUAGGGAAUAUUGGACAAUGGGCGCAAGCCUGAUCCGAGCCAUCGCCGCGUGAGUGAAGAACGGCCCUCGGGUUAGUAAAGCUUCUUUGUACCGGAAAGAAAGCGUCCGGGUUAACUACCCGUAGUCGUCCUGACCGGUACCGGAAGAAUAAGCCGACCGGACUUAACUUCGUCGCCAGCACG